UGGGUGAUUAGCUCAGCUGGGAGAGCAUCUCCCUUACAAGGAGAGGGUCGGCGGUUCGAUCCCGUCAUCACCCACCAC
rnacentral:tRNA from 1 species